rnacentral:rRNA from 1 species
UACGAAGGGGGCUAGCGUUGCUCGGAAUCACUGGGCGUAAAGGGUGCGUAGGCGGUCGGGUAAGUCUGAUGUGAAAUCUCACAGCUUAACUGUGAAACUGCAUUGGAUACUAUCCGGCUCGAGGAAUGGAGGGGGAGACUGGAAUACUUGGUGUAGCAGUGAAAUGCGUAGAUAUCAAGUGGAACACCAGUGGCGAAGGCGAGUCUCUGGACAUUUCCUGACGCUGAGGCACGAAAGCCAGGGGGAGCAAACGGG